rnacentral:rRNA from 1 species
UCUCAGUUCGGAUUGGAGUCUGCAACCCGACUCCAUGAAGCUGGAUUCGCUAGUAAUCGCGCAUCAGCCACGGCGCGGUGAAUACGUUCCCGGGCCUUGUACACACCGCCCGUCAAGCCAUGAAAGCCGGGGGUACCUGAAGUGCGUAACCGCGAGGAGCGCCCUAGGGUAAAACUGGUGAUUGGGGCUAAGUCGUAACAAGGUAUC